UAAGCAUAUAAGUAAGCGGUGGAAAAUGAACCAAAUGGGAUUCCUUUAGUAAUUGCGAAUGAACAAGGAUGUGCUCAGCUUGACAAAUGGAGUUUUUGAGCUUUGAAUUGUAAUUUUGCAAUGCAUCACCAGCGGAGGUACAGUUGCAAGCCUUUUGAAAGACAGCGCCAUUGAGGGUGAAAUUCCUUUUUGUCUUCUGCAACCUUUGUGCACGGUAUGUAUUUGGUGAAUCACAUUCCUCGGCAUUGGAAUGCAAAUUGGGUGGUAAAUUUCACGCAAGGGAAAAUAUAUUAUUGAGUCUGAUAAUGAACAAGUACCAUGAGGGAAAUAUGCAAAGGACUUUGAAAAGAAAAUUAAAAGAGCUUGCAUUUGCUAAACAGAAAACUAGCAGAAGUGCUUUAUCUUGGUAAGAUUGCUGCGCAUGGGUUUACUGUGUAAAUUGUAUGAGCAUUGGUUCUUACUUUGUGUGUCAAUUCCAUUGUCAAUUUUAAUAUCUUUGCUCAUGAAUUGUGAAAUGCUUGCGGGUGUUAGAUUGCAUGUGCAUUCAUUAAUUUGGACUUGGUGCAGUGCUUGGCAACAGCUUGCAUGUAGAGUGUGCGUGCAAUGUACAAUUGCGAUUGUCAGCUGUUGCCAACCACUUUUGUUGGCAAUGUGAUUCUGCUUGACCCGUCUUGAAAC
rnacentral:rRNA from 1 species